UACUCCUUCACCCCUUCUCGGGGGCCGCGAUCACCGUGCUGCUCCGACCAAACAUUGAGCCCUUAUGGCGGAUGCCUCUGUGCCCCUCCCCGGUCUUCUGUCUGCCGUGGGGCCCCGCCGACCCCACCUGCCAGGCACACCCACCGCUCCCAGCACCGGCCUCCCAGACUCACCGAUGCCGUCCAAAAGCAGCCCAAGCCGGGCUCUCAAACAGGGAACCAGAACAUGCUACCACAGGGCCUUCUCAUAGGUUCUGGACUGAACCGCAGGUCACUCGGCCCAGAGGGGCUGCCUGUCGCCGUCGCCCUCCACUGUAAUUCCUGCACUCUGCUCGCACCGUCUGCUUUUGUCCACGCUUAUGUGCAGGGUUUUCCUGCUUCAAUGUUCUAUCCACCUAGUGCGUGCUCCGGAGAGGAUACGACACUGCCCUCUGCCCCCAGGGGCCCACGACACGGUGCGGGAGCUGCAGCCAGCUCUCCACAAAUACCUGUGGCAGAGGGACCACGGCCUGGAGCCCCAAGCAGCAGCCAGCGCGAUGAGGGCUCAGCCCGUAACUCAGCAUGACCACCAUGAGCUGGCAAGUAAACUGCAGUACACGCGCGUGUGAGACACAUUCACGUUCUUGAAGCGAGCAUCACUAUCUGGACCACAGAUGUGUCGGUCACACGUAUGGGAUCACAGAAAAGACACGAGCGUGUGGGCUUUACGCCCGAAAUUCCAGGAUUUUGGAGGUCUAGUUAUCUGCCCUGGUCGCAGUACGGGUCUGGGCCCCUUAGGAUUGGGCCUCAGUGCGGACAGGAAUCUUGGUUCCCCCAGAGCCAGCUGUGGUUCUGGCUCUGGCUCGGGUGGCCCGCGAUGACAGCCGGGGAAGUGGCUGGAGGAGGAAACUCAAGGGCCGCCAGGAAGGUUGCCGAAUCACCAGCUUGACCCCAGCUGGAAACGAAGAUUCCUCCAAGAUCAAAACCCAGCUCCAAAGAAGCUCCAAGACCUGGUGGCCAGGCCCAGUUCCACCAUCGGGUGAGGCGCUGGGGGCCACGAGUCCGUUAACUGCCGAGCUGACCCUGGGGAGGGUAGAGUCCGUUUCACUUAAAAACACUAAAAAAAAAUCUACUUCUUAAAUAACCGUGUAGGCCCUGCUUUCUCUGCAUAGUUGGGUUUCAGAGCUGAAUUUCCAAACGCAGAAGUUAAAGGUUCCUGGAAGGAGAACCCCACAGAUAUCCUGAGAGUGUAAAUGACUUUCUGUGCAGAGCGAGGGGCCUACAGAAGCCAGAGGCUUUGCUUCCCUGCCAUCCCCAGUGACCAACAGUCACAUCACAACACAUCCCAGACGCUGUUCUCAACUCUGUAUUAACUCAUUUGCUCCCCAUGACCACCCUACGAGAAACAUACCGUCAUCAUCCUUUCAAAGGUGGAACGGAGGCACAGGGAGGCUGAGAAGCCUGCUGAGGCCACACAGCUCACGGGAGGCCUGCGCCCAGCAUGCCGACACUGCUCUGGUUUUGUGCUAUUUAACGCCACCUAGCUUCCCGCUGCGGCCACCGGUGCUCCGAGACGCACAUUCAGCUGGAUCACACUUCCAUCUCAAGAGGGUUUGCUGCGACUUUUCUGAUCCUUGGCGAAGCCUAAAUUUUGUGCCAUCCCACCUGGCUCAGAGUUUCUGCUUCUGCUAAACCUCUAAACCAAGGGAGUCCGGCCCUGGAACCCACCGCGUCCACCUCCAUCCUGACUUGUGAGCAUGAUUUUACGCAUGACAGUAAGAAGUUGCUUACGACUUCAGGAAGGAAGUUUGAGAGUUAAUUUUUUUUUAAGAAGCAGAAAUCCUUGGCAUUCUUCUUCUUCUUUCAAAAGAAAGGCCUCUGAAGGGCACAAGAACCAGAAAAUAUGGGAAAUGCUUUGGAACGUUAAUUGGCAAAAUCACAAGUGCCCAAAGGCUCGUGGUGAGCCGGCCACUAAGGAGAGCCCCUCCAACAAACAACACGGAAAGAGUCAGGACCCAGGUCUGGUACCAAAGUGCAGCUCACUAAACACAGAAAGGGGAGUACAGAUAGUCCUGAAUACAGUUAUUCAGGAACAACCAAGGUUCAAAUAAGUGAUGUCUUCUUCGUCACGGGAGGAGAGAAAACCGGUAACAGGUGUUGCUUCAAAGGCAGCCGAACUGAAUGGAUGCAUUUUGGAAACACGCAGAUCCCAGCAUGGAGAGUAAGAGCGUCGGGUCCUGGAGUGCCCGGGGACAUCCACGAAGGGGGAUGGCGCAGCAUCCUGCCACGGGGAUCAGGUCAGAAUGCAGACGGAUGACGUGGAACAGAAGUGCCAUCAUAGACGAAAAGAGCCAGAGUCCCCGAGAUCAAAAGCAAGCUACGAGUAAUCGUAAGGAAAUAAGAUAAAUAUACGGGUGAAACAAUCAGUACUUCUGAAACGGCCAUGCCCUGUGAGCAUCAUGACCACAUAAGAAGGAGGGUGACAACAGCGAGGGUGAGGAGGACACAGAACGGGUGUCCUUGGGAAGUCACAUGAGUCAGACGAAGGGGCCGCCAAUUCUGCAUGAGAAAGGGGGAGAAAGCAUUUUGUGUUUUGGCAAAUAAGCACGUAAAAAGAGUCUGGUGAUUGGCUUGCCCCGAAUCAGAGGACAAAUGACUAAGUUUCUUUUAAAAAACUGAGUUACUUUCCCAAUGGCCUCUUUCGCUGAAAUGACUAGAUCUCUAGGUGCGAUGUUAUGUUGCAGAGUAAAAUGCGGAAGGGAACCUUCCAUCCACUAUGUCUGCUACAAUAUGGUACCGGGCUGUUUAUCAGAAGACAUGGAGGUGGACAAUCUAAUUGCCCUUCAUCAGCCCAUGAUACUGACACACCGGUGGUGUUACUCUUCAAGACAUUGACCCAGCUCUUCAGAUGGCCCAGAUGAGCAAGCGUCUGGCCUGCAGGAGGCCCUUCCUGGACGAGCCUUUCACAGCAUCACCUCCUCAGGAAGCGGCCCCCUCUUGAUCUGACUGCAGGGAGGAGGCGCUGGGGGCCUUCAGGACGUGACUCCCUUUUCUGUCUGGAAGCCCUGGGAGCCAGCGAGGGACGCAGCGUCCUUCUCUCACCGCAGAAGCUUACACGCAGGUCACUAGGGUCCCUUAGGAGAUGAGACCCGGAGGGCUUGUAACCAGCCAAGGCCCAGGGUGAUCCGGUCAACUCUCCUCUUUAUCCACAGGUCCUAGGUUGCUGGGUAGGGACAUCCCAGGGUUCAGGGUUCGGGCUGCGAGUGGAGCAGUGGACAGGCCAGAGGACAGUCACAGAGGGAUGAAGGGCAGAAAGCACCAGUGGCUGCUCCUUCAGUAAAAGCCAUGGCUCGGUGGCAGUUAGAGACCCAGCAGCUGAAACGGCAACAAUUUGGUUGGGUCGAGGUGCCGCGCAAAGGCUUAAUUAAGAGCCCAAAGAAUAGAAAUGAACACCACGGACUAACCACAGAAAUCAAAGGUCUCUAAGAGGACUCCGAGUGUGGGGUGAGCAGGUGAUGUGGUGGUCGCUGGAGGGAACCCAGGGCCCAGCCUCCCACAGGGGUCCUGGGUCAAGGAGUAGGAGGGGCAGGAUUUCACUGCGGCAUGAGCAGAAGGCCAGACAGUUCAGAAAAAAAGGGCUGAGGUAAACAUUCCACCGAAUUAAAUGCAGGAGACAGUCUACAGCCCACAUCAGGGUUUCAACCAGAGAUGUGUUUUUUUAAAGCUUAAAAUAAACAUUUUUCUUAAGUAUUAAGGGGGAAUAACCUUUAAUCUGAGAAAGCCAUGCCAUCACUACGAGGACAGAGGCAGCGGGAUGAGUGGGGGUGGCGGCACAGGGUGAGCUGUGUCUCUGUCCCGAGAGGCACCCACACCCCUUUCUGUGCGCCCGCCGUGGGGUCUUGGGGGUGCGCAGCCAGGGAAGGGCUCCGGCCCGCUGCAGACUGGUCCCGGCCUUCAGACGCGCCUCGCCCACCACCGAAGACUAGAAAGAUGCUUGUGAAACUCCGGCCAGGUGCACGCCACGGAGAAGGCCCAAGUGCCCCCCACCAUCUUCAGGAUCUCCCCAGGACAAUGCGGUUGUUGUCCCCCAUCCAAACACCAUAUGGCUCUUUGAUAAACACAGACCUCUCUACCCUCUGUCAAUCUGGUAUUUCGCGAUAUUACGACUAAAACCACAUAAAACCAAACCAACAGUUAGAACACUGACUGCGAUGUUUACAGCUCUACAUCGUCUCCACUGCCUGAGAGAUAGGUGUGUCCUCUUCACCCGGGGGCAGGGUCCCAUCCCCGGCAGGCGAGCACGGCUGCCCCGGGUGCCCGUGCUGUGAACCAGGACAGCCACCAUCGGUGUCCCUUCUGAAGAACACGGGCAAAGCUGGGACCCGGCACGAUCUACCUGACCGUCCUUGAUCUUCUUCUCUAGGAAAAGCACUGUAAGUGCAAGACGGGCUCUAGCCUUCACUCGCUCGACGUCCCUUUCCCUCCGAGCAGCUGCUGCCUACUCGCGCCCGUCUACAAGCCUCGUUAAGUAGAAAAACUACUGCUUUUCUCCUACAUCUUUUGUUUCGCUUUCCUUCCCGUCACCUACAUCCCCUCAUGGGUGAGUGGCAGCGACCGUAACCAACGCUGACGGCCCAGUACAGGGGGACAGGAACGUCACACGCUCUUGAGCACGUUUAGGCUGUCGGUGUUUCCUGAAAUCUGGGACUGAAGUGGCAACAGGCCACCGACACCCCUCCAUGGCACCGCCGUCCAAGGGACCAUCUUCCCAUUAACCUUCCUGCCGGCGGACGGGUCCAGGUCAGACUUUGUAACAGGUGGAGUUAGAAUAGCAAGCCGGAUGGGGUUUUGAAAACUCAUGUCUAUUUUUUAUUUUCACUGGUUAAAAAUAUUAGAUAGGCAUGAAACUCAUCACUUUUGUGAGUAAGAAAGGACUUCUUUGCAAACACGUGUCUUUGAGAGCAAAGAAACCCAAGACCCUCGUGUGAUCGGAACACAGAGCGUUCACGGCCGACACCCCUCACGCGGUCUAAUCAGGCCACAUCGCGUUUCUCCCAAGUGUCCGGGGAGAUACGGCCCGGUGCGUGUUGGGGUUACGUGAACCGAGGUGGGGUUUCCCAAACUGCAGCGAUUACGGCGUCUCGCUGAAAUGAACUAUGGAACCAGUCCUGGAUUAGCCACUCAGUGCAUCCCGCCCUCCGGGCCUUGGCCUUCAAGAGCGGUGCUCCUGGGAUGCCACGGUCAGAGGAGUACUAUCAGGUGAGGCUCUGAGAGGCGGCAGGUGCACGUGCACGGGCUUAUCCCUGUUCCGACCAUGUUCCAAAGGCUCUUUGGGGUUCCCUCCAAAAUAACAGAAAUAUACAAUAGCAGCUACUUUAUUAUUCUAUAUGUAAUGCCACGUAACGGAAGUACAAUUGUUCUAAGGACUGAUUGUUCUUAGGACCUGAAGGCACAAAGGAACUUAGAAGACGGUCUUGGCUCUUUGAGUGAGGUCAGCAUUACCAAAUUCAGGUAAUUUGGCAAAAAAACCAAAAAACAAAACAAAACAAAACAAAGAAAAGAA